rnacentral:rRNA from 1 species
UACGAAGGGGGCUAGCGUUGUUCGGAAUUACUGGGCGUAAAGCGCAUGUAGGCGGCGAUUCAAGUCGGGGGUGAAAUCCCAGGGCUCAACCCUGGAACUGCCUUCGAUACUGUAUUGCUGGAGUAUGGAAGAGGUAAGUGGAACUGCAAGUGUAGAGGUGAAAUUCGUAGAUAUUUGCAAGAACACCAGUGGCGAAGGCGGCUCACUGGUCCGGUACUGACGCUGAGGUGCGAAAGCGUGGGGAGCAAACAGG